UCCCUGAUGGUCCAGUGGUUACGACUCUGCACUUCCACUGCAGGAGGCCCAGGUUCAAUCCCUAGUCAGGGAA
rfam:TPA: Bos taurus chromosome 8, whole genome shotgun sequence.